rnacentral:rRNA from 1 species
CGUGGGUAACCUGCCCAAGAGAUCGGGAUAACACCUGGAAACAGAUGCUAAUACCGGAUAACAACAGAUGAUGCCUAUCAACUGUUUAAAAGAUGGUUCUGCUAUCACUCUUGGAUGGACCUGCGGUGCAUUAGCUAGUUGGUAGGGUAACGGCCUACCAAGGCGAUGAUGCAUAGCCGAGUUGAGAGACUGAUCGGCCACAUUGGGACUGAGACACGGCCCAAACUCCUAGGGAGGCAGCAGGG